AGAUACCUAAUCCAAUUAUUAUAAAAGAAUUAUUGCAAUUCGAUGCACAGUUUCGGAGAAAUUCAUAGACAAACAUACAAACACACACACACACGCUUAUGAAGUUUGGCACCUCUGCUUAGAAGCAUAAUAUAGCGUCUACCUCUAUCUAGGACCAUUGGCGUAUUAUUACUUACCUACUUUAAUUUUAUUAGAACCAAAGACCAGUUAAGAUUGACCCCUUACGAGAAAUCUUAAAACGCCUAUUUUCCUAAAUAGUGCACCGAUUUCGAUGAAACAAAAACUUAAUACAGUUCCAAAUAAAGUGAUAUACGAUUUUUAAGACAAAAUUAGAAUCUGUUACGUAUAAUUUGUGUUAUGUAGGCACAGACAAAUUUUCACAUAUCUUUGACUUGGUCGGUGUUUUAUGCAACUUUUCGACAUUUUUCGAUUUUUUCCUUUGUUUACAUACUAAGACUCAUAAUUGUACCAAAUUUCAACUUUCCACGUACACGGGAAGUGCGUCAUAAUUUUGGUCAGUCAGUGAGUAGGUCUAGGUCUUAAUUUUUGCAAUUUUCAGACCUCUGUAUCUAAGAAAUGGUUAAACGUAAAAAUUUGAAACUUACAAUUUAUCGUUAAAUCCACGAGCUUAGCUAAUAUUUCAAAUUUCGUAAGAUUAUCAUCACGCGAACCAGAGUUAUGAGGGGGGUCAGAACAGCGCGAAAUGUUUCGUGUGGACGAGGGCUAACUUG